UCAACAGGCAAUUGCUGAAUGCCUCCUGUACAACAGGCAUUAUUCAAUUUGCUGGCGACAGAGAUGAGAAUGAUACAAACUCGAGUCUCAAAGAGCUCACAGUCUUGUCUGAAGAAGGAGAGGGCUGGUAGACAGCAAGGAAGUCAUGUGACUAGAAGGAACCUCGGAAAUCUAACCACAGCAUUCUCACUGCAUAUUCCCAAGGGGCCCUGGCCCUGCCACCUUCAACAUCAACCUAAUUUGAGUGGUCCUUUCAUGUGAAAAUGACUCCCCAUCAUCAAGGGCAACCCAUUCAUUAAUUAAAGAUGAUCUAGCACACUGGCCCAGCAUCCUCCCAAGACCAGACUAUUGACUCCUGGCAAGGUUUGGCCACAUCACACUUGAUGUUCCCAGUGGGAAUUUCUAUGAAUGCUGAAGUCUCAGAAAGCUGUUUUGAUCUGUCCCUCUAGGGAGAGGGACUUUUCUGGGGCAUAGACGCAAUGUGAAGCCUGAACUAAGUGGGUUCAUCUCUGGGCCUGAGAAAGACUACUUGAAGAGAAAAGCACAGCUUUGCAGCCAGUUUGAAGGAACUGUCUUGUGAGACUUGUUACAAAACUGGCCCAAGACACCCAAGUGCCUUCAUUCCCACGGUCUGUGAGUGCUGCUGAGUGCCAAAAAAAAAAAAAAAAAAAAAAAAAAUCAGCCCUCUGGAAAGGUCUGGGCUUCAUGGCUGUGACACAGCUAAUUAAAGUGCCAGGUCUGAGUAGCACUGGGCUGUUUCUCCAGGACACCUCACAGCUCUGGUGUGUCAUCUUAACGGGCUUCUUCUACCUGGAAGUAAAAGUUCUGAAUAUUUAAAAGAAGGAAAUUAUACAGUCAUCGGAACGCUAAUGUCUUGAGUUUCUAAAUGGAAUGGCGCUAUUACAUGAGGCUCCAGAGACACAGUCAGUUUACAUACAGAUUCUGAACUGGAAGAGAGGGCAAAGAGCAAAAGGCGAGGCCACCUGAAUCUGACACCAUAAACAAGCUUUCUCAGAACUUAAAAGAGCUUUCCCAGCGACACCCAUUUAUCAUUGGCUGGAACUGGGUCACGUGGACCAAGAUGCAAACGCUUGUGUUCAAAGGAUUCAUGUUUGCCUAUUUAAGGUCCCUACGGGAGUAUCAUUGCCACAGGAAUGGGUGCCACAUUUUAUGAAGCUAGAGACCACACUGCAAAGAAAAUGCCCGAAAGCAGUCAUUUCUCCGGCCUGGAAUUAAAAGUGACCCCCUUUCAUAUUUCCUUGGGCUCUGCAGGCCGAAGUGGAGACCCUAUUUGCCAAGUCUCAGCCACAGUUAAUUUACUUUCGUUUUAUUUUUCCUUACUCCUGAAUUGAAUUAUCACCUUCCUGAAGAGCCGUGUGUGUAAUGGAAAAGCUGACACCAGCCAAAGUGGAGUAUUGCAGCCCAAAUGAGGCUCCUAUUAUUGCCCUGUUACGGGAGGAACGGGCUUCUGUUUGCCCUUCAUUCAUCACCUGCUGACUGUGAAACCAAGUCGAGCUGCUUUGUUUUAAUGGCAGUUGUUCUGCCCUGACCUAUGCUGCUCGCCCACCCUGCUCCAGGAGCAAACAGAUGAGUUCCAUUUGGAGCUGAACUUACUGUGCAUGAAAAUCACGAGGGCAACGAGAUUUUUUCUUCGCCUUCAUGCAACGGGGAGCAUUAAGCACUGCAUUCUGUCCCUUGAAGUCCAGAACAGGACACCUGGCUAACGGGCACCCUAUGAGACCAUCUUAUCACACUUUUCAGACCGAAGGACCUCAGCUUUGUGCUGUCCCUCCUGCUAAGGCCUUUAAAGAUCCCUCCUAAGGUUUCCAUACGCAAGUGUGUUAAAAAUAUAUCCGAGGAAAUGAUUUUCAUAGUGGAUGUUUCCUGGCUUGUGUCACACACUAUAUAUACUUCCAAUUAGGACUAUUUAUUCCUCCCUCCACCAUGCCCCGAAGCAAGGUCCAUUUGUGAAAUCUAAUUAAACCUGCUUAUUUCCUUGGAAUGAAGGACAUUUUUAGAUCUUUCACUAGGCACGCUCCUCCUGUCUGGAAGAAUUUUGUUUGUUGGUGCGUUUUAGUCUUUCUGGGGGAGGAGGGAUAGUUUUUGUUAGUUUUUCUGAGAACCCAAAAUGAUUGGAGACCUUUUAUUUACUUAUUUUUUAAACACCAGUUUCCACAGGACACUGUGAAGGAGCCAGUGCAGACUCCCUUUAGUGAAGCUCUUUCCUUGGGUUCUAAAAGCUCCUUUGUUCUCAAUUCCCAUUACUUUUCUCUCUGACUGUGGAUGGUCUCCCCUCUCCCCACAGAGCUGAGAGUUCAUGGCUGUUUCUAAUCCAUAAUUAGCUGAAAUAGAAAAAUACUCUCCUUGAGGUAAUAAUUCUCCUGCAUUUGCCGCUCUUCGCCCAUCACAAUGCAAAACAGAACAUUCUCAGACCAUGUAUGAUCACUGACAUUGCCACAGGCACCAAAAAAUUUAUUUUUUUAAGCAGCUUUGCUAAGAUGGGGCUGUCCUUGGCCUCAUAUCUGUGGUGAAUCUAAAGGAGUCAGUGAAAGCAGAAAGGAGGCAAAUAAAAUGCAGAUUGACUCUGGGAAACAUCCAUUUCAUUGGCUCUGCUUACUGGAGAAGUGGCCCAUGGAAGAUUAUGUCACCUUUUGCACCAAGUUAACGCGGCUGUUUGUCAAGUGAGACGAGAAUUCUUUGUAUUUGUAUUCUUACCUAGCUCACAUUUUUAACGAUGUCUCUUCUCCAUUUCUCAUCCAGACAUUUUUCCCUAUCUGCUUUCAAUGCUAAUGUGUCCCUGUCCUGUUUUUCAAAUUAAAUACCACACUUAAAAUAUUAAUACCCCUUGCUCUUUGAUUCUUUGUUUAUUCAUCUUAUGCAAAACACAACAGUGAGCUUCCAUCUGUAUUAAAUGCUACUGUAUGGGCCAAUUCAAUGACUUAUUAAUGACUGUUCCAUGAUAUGGAGGGCUAGGCUUUAUAUAAUCAUGCAAUUCUUAUUCAGAAAUGCUCCGCUAGUACUACCCUGUAGGGAAAAAGAAUGAAAUAUGUCUGUGUUUUCGAAGAAAAAAUGACUUACUUUGUGAAGACCAUUAUAAGAUGACUAAGUAUUGAAACUAGGCCAAGUUACUUCAGUCUCCAAGGAAGUUAGCUCACGUCUUGAAGUAUUUGGGUAUGUAAAUUUUUGUAACAUUUUUGUAACAUUUAUUGAAGUGGAAACCACAUAGCAUAAAAUUAUAGGUCAAUGAAUUAACACAAAGUGUAUAACUGCCAUGGUCAAGAAAUAGGAUAUUUAAGGAGCCUUAUUCACGCCGCUAGCCCAUAUUCUGUUCGGGCUGUUUCCUCUUU
rnacentral:lncRNA from 1 species